rnacentral:misc_RNA from 1 species
AACCAUAGAAACCUGCGGAGUACCUGCGGAGGGAUCAUUACCGAGUUUACAACUCCCAAACCCCUGUGAACAUACCUAUACGUUGCCUCGGCGGAUCAGCCCGCGCCCUGUAAAAAGGGACGGCCCGCCCGAGGACCCUAAACUCUGUUUUUAGUGGAACUUCUGAGUAAAACAAACAAAUAAAUCAAAACUUUUAGCAACGGAUCU